rnacentral:rRNA from 1 species
CCAAGGAGUCUAAUUAGGCAUCGAGUCGAUCGGUCUUGAUAGGCCAGACUGAGAACAAUUGUGUUCUAAAUGAAGGCACAGAGAAAUCAAAUCAUGUGAUCAUUUCAACAAUACCAGUUGAUUUGCGCAACAUGUACCUGCUCGUAUAGCAAUGUGCAGCAAUGUACUUGCUGGGCGGAGUAAAGAGAUGCUUGAUUGGUACCCGAAAGAUGGUGAACUAUGCUUGGGCAAAUUGAAGCCAGAGGAAACUCUGGUGGAGGAUUGUAGCGAUUCUGACGUGCAAAUCGAUCGUCAGACCUGAGUAUAGGGGCGAAAGACUAAUCGAACCAUC